rnacentral:ncRNA from 1 species
CAACCUCAACUCAUAUGGGACUACCCCCUGAAUUUAAGCAUAUUAAUUAGGGGAGGAAAAGAAACUAACAAGGAUUUUCUUAGUAGCGGCGAGCGAAAAGAAAUCAGUUCAGCACUAAGUCACUUUGUCUAUAUGGCAAAUGUGAGAUGCAGUGUACGGAACAUCAACAUUCUAGUAUGAGAAGUUAACGAUUUAAGUCCUUCUUAAAUGAGGCCAUUUACCCAUAGAGGGUGCCAGGCCCGUAUAACGUUAAUGAUUACUAGAUGGUGUUUCCAAAGAGUCGUGUUGCUUGAUAGUGCAGCACUAAGUGGGUGGUAAACUCCAUCUAAAACUAAAUAUAACCAUGAGACCGAUAGUAAACAAGUACCGUGAGGGAAAGUUGAAAAGAACUCUGAAUAGAGAGUUAAAUAGUACGUGAAACUGCUUAGAGGUUAAGCCCGAUGA